rnacentral:rRNA from 1 species
GGUGUAGGCGGUGUGGUAAGUCGGAUGUGAAAUCUCCAGGCUCAACCUGGAAACUGCAUUCGAAACUGCCAUGCUUGAGUACCGGAGAGGGAAACGGAAUUCCUGGUGUAGGGGUGAAAUCUGUAGAUAUCAGGAAGAACACCGGUGGCGAAGGCGGUUUCCUGGCCGGAUACUGACGCUGAGGCGCGAAAGCUAGGGGAGCAAACA